GGCCCAGGCUGUGCCAGGGAUCCAGAGGCUGAAGCACAUUCCAGCAAAAACACUGGCCCCUGCUUGGAACCCAGAGCCCAGUCUGGGUCCGGCAAGGGGCUGGCCCUGUGCCCACCUAACUGAGCCAUUUCCUCCCAGACUGGGACACAUUUCCUGCCCGGAGGGAACAGAGCACAUUCCCAGGCGGGGUGGACUGGGUCCUGCAUUGGGGGAGGGGAUUCCAUAGGCAUUUUCCCAACCCCAGUGACCAUGCCCUGGGAUGAGAGGCCUGUCCUGGUGGUAGGGCUAGGAGCACGGUUCAAAGGGUGCUGCUGGAGCUGUCCAAGGGGUGGCCAUUCUUGGGGGAAUAAGCAGAAACCACCCGGCCCCGCCUUGGGUGCAGCCUGCUCUGUAUCCCAGGUGUGCUGAGCGUAGAGCGAGAAGGAUCCUUGGGUCACCCCUGCCUGCUCCCAAGCAGCAGUCUUCG
rnacentral:lncRNA from 1 species